rnacentral:lncRNA from 1 species
GCAAACAGUAUCCUGAUCAGAGUCAAAAGACAAUAAUCUGAAAAAAAAUCUAUAACCUAUAUAAUAUGACAGAUAAGGAACUCAUCUCCCUAAUAUAUAAAGAAUUCUUUAAAAAAAAUAAGCAAAGACAGUGCUCUCCUUUGUGAGACACUUCAAAUGGGAGAGUCAGAGGACCUAACAAUUGAGCCUCACCUGAGGAGGUGAUGUGUAAAUGCGAGGGAGUGGUUUGGGACACAGGUGAAGAAUGAAUGCAAAUCAAGAAACAAUUUAAAGUGGAGACGAGAUACAUUGGGGAGCUCAUGUAGAAUAGCCCCAGUCUCCCGAGAUGAG